CCAUCUAGCCAAUCAGUUGACCCAGAGAGAACCAAUCCCACAAAUGCAGAAGAAUACAUUUCAUUUGUAAUCAUCCAUCCAAUCAGAGGCCCAGAGACCAAACGAGUUAGAGAGAUGAAAUUAGGCAGAUUCACAAAACUCUCAAAAAACCUAUCAUCGACAACACCCUCCUUCAGCUCUUGGACCCGAUCCAACACUCUUUGACCGGUC
rnacentral:misc_RNA from 1 species